rnacentral:rRNA from 1 species
UACGUAGGGUGCUAGCGUUGUCCGGAAUUAUUGGGCGUAAAGAGCUCGUAGGCGGUUUGUCGCGUCUGCUGUGAAAACGCGAGGCUCAACCUCGCGCCUGCAGUGGGUACGGGCAGACUAGAGUGCGGUAGGGGAGAUUGGAAUUCCUGGUGUAGCGGUGGAAUGCGCAGAUAUCAGGAGGAACACCGAUGGCGAAGGCAGAUCUCUGGGCCGUAACUGACGCUGAGGAGCGAAAGCGUGGGGAGCGAACAGG